rnacentral:rRNA from 1 species
GUGGGGAAUAUUGGGCAAUGGGGGCAACCCUGACCCAGCAACGCCGCGUGAGGGAAGAAGGUUUUCGGAUUGUAAACCUCUGUCCUAUGGGAAGAAGGAAGUGACGGUACCAUAGGAGGAAGCCCCGGCUAACUACGUGCCAGCAGCCGCGGUAAUACGUAGGGGGCGAGCGUUGUCCGGAAUUACUGGGCGUAAAGGGUGCGCAGGUGGCCUGACAAGUCAGAUGUGAAAUACCGAUGCUUAAAGUCGGGGCUGCAUUUGAAACUAUGAGGCUGGAGUGCAGGAGAGGGAAGCGGAAUUCCUAGUGUAGCGGUGAAAUGCAUAGAUAUUAGGAGGAACACCAGUGGCGAAGGCGGCUUUCUGGACUGCACCUGACGCUGAGGCGCGAAAGCGUGGGGAGCGAACGGGAUUAGAUACCCCGGUAGUCC